rnacentral:lncRNA from 1 species
GUGAAGAUGUGGGGACAAGUUUUGAGCCCAAGAGGGGGUGACUCUGUAAUGAAGGUGCUUUCUGUAGAAGCCAGACUUUGGUGAUCUCUUUCUUUUAGACCUAGGGCUAAAAGGAGAGUUUAUGAGAGUUUUGAGAAAGGUUGUUUCAUUUUAAUUGUUCAUUCUGUGUGUCUGCACAAGAGAUACACCCAGCUGAUUGUGACGACCUUGGCAAUAGCAGACUGCAGACCCAGCUGGUAGGGCCAGAGUGAAGAUCUGGUUCUCCUGUCGCUGAUCAUGAGGCCUACCUUGCUGGAAGCCCCAGCUUCCAGAAUGACUUCUUCUCCUCAGGACAUUUAGAGGGAAACGUUCCCUUGGGAGAUUUUGGAGUUUUUAUGGAUCUUUGAUGAGCUGACUGCACAUCCACUGGUGAACCUCAGACCCAGUGCCUGGGAGAGGAGGGAAAGUAAACAGUUACAGUCUCCUGUGGGACCCACGAGGACUGGAAGGAACAGGAGUCAAGUUUAUCUCACAGGGCAUGGACCUCUUGAACCCCUGACUGUUUGCUGUAACAAACAUGUGCCAAGAGUUGUGACCAAGGUACUUGCUCUAUUCUGUGUUAGUAAUGCAAGUGGACCUACCAGGGUGUAUAGAUUUAUUGGGCAGAUAAUUAUUUCCAUUUCUUUAGACUCAUCCUGCCUCCAGCGGGAUGCUUGCAGCUCUGACCUGAGUAUUUCUGUGGAGACGUACUUCGUUUCCAGAUGACUGAAUAACCCUCAUGAGGUA